CUGGGCAGAAAGAUUCAAGAGUUGAUUUCCUUUAUCCAAUCAAGAACUAACCUGCUUUGAGGCUGGCUAUAGUUUUGCAAAGCUCCAUCAAUCUCUAAAUGUCUACUCCCCCUGGGGCCCCCUAGAGUUUAGUCUUGUGUAGCUUCCAGUUGAACAUCUAGUACGAUCACCAGAUUCAUUUUCUCAACAGUUCGACAUUAGCCUUGCUUUUCAACUCUACUUCCCAAAAGUUUUAACGUUGCUUCAAAUGCAUUGGGGAGUAAACAGGUAAACAGACAAUUUGCUGACAUUCCUCAAGCUAAGACACCAUUUUUUUUUUUAGUCCACAAAAAGUUCUAUAUGUUUCUCCUUCCCUUACUAGCAGCCACUGCCUUGGCAGAGCCCCCAUUCUCUGCUUCCUACCAAUGACCCAGAAGUAGCAAAACCUCCUGAGGGAAAGAGGAAAGAUCAAUCAUGAACUCAGAUUUCCGUCGUUUCCCCAUCUCUGAAAUUUUAACCAUUCUAGUUCUCAUUACUUCAAAAACUUUCUAACGCAUUUAAGCAGAAUUAUUUAAAUAGUUAUCUGUAUUUUCUAGCUGUUCUCAACAGGAGCACAAUUCUACCACAAGUAGCUCCAUCCUAUCUAGAACUCUCAUUAUAUUUUUGUUCAUUUAAAAAAAUGUAAAAAAUUCCAUCAGUUUCUUCAAGAGUUGUCAUGGAAGACAGACAGAUAAAGUCUUAUAUUAAGUAGCUGAGAAGAGCUUUGUGCAGUGCGAAGGAAUUUACAAAGCUACUUCUAAUACUGUAAAAUCAUUAUGUUGCAGCUGAAGUAUAAUGCUGCACUGAGUAUGCAUGUCACAGGCUUUUAAAGUCUAUAUAAAAGACAGAGAGGAACAAGAAACUAUACCUGUUAUUUCCAGCAAGAAAAAAAAAAAUCUUAAUGCAAUGACCUGAAAGACUUUUACACCAAUUCUAAAAUAUAACGAGAAAGUGAUACAGGGAUGUUCUACGUUGCUCAUGUAUUUAGGGUAUGGAGUUGCCAUUUUUCAUCUUUUAAAAAUCUAUGUAUUUAGAAGAAAGUGCAAUAUUUUUACCAAAUGUGUAAAAUCACUCUGAUAUGUGUGUAAUUAUAUUUAUAAAAUUCUUCAAAAAAUACCAAUUUUAGGUGCCUGCUCUUACCUCUUAUUACUUAACCUUGCAAUAAUGGAUUUGGUCAGUCUAUCUGGCAGUAGCUAAAGGAAAAGCCGAAAAUUACUGCAAACCUCUGAAAGCAUUAAGUUUUCCAGAUCUAUUCAUUAAAGUAGACAAUAAGGAGAGAGAAUACAAAGUUACCUGUUCCUUUAUGGGAUAUAUUCUUAACAAAGAGAUGUCAUUUUGGAUGACUUUCCAACUGUUUAAGAGAUGUAGUCUUCUGUACAUAAUUAAAGAGUUCCCAUCGCGCUAAUAAUUGAAGAACUAAAAUGAUAACUUCUAAAUGAGAAAAAUUUACCUUAAUCCCCAAACCACAAGAUUAAAGAUUUGUUUUCAGCAUCAUAGUUUGUGGGUCUUUUCAAUUUAUUGAGACAGUCAUGAAGUAAGGUCAUAUCACACACAUUUUCGGAAAAAUAAUCAAGGUUCCUUGAAUCUUAAUCCUCCCUGAAUUUAUGCAAAGUCCAAAAACACAUGGCCACCUGUACCCUAAAUAAUAAAAGCAGAAAACACCAAGAAUUAAUAGAAGAAACUGGGAUAGAGAAUAAACUAAUAAUUAAGGGUCUUUGGUUUAAACAAGCACUAAUUUUGUGACCUAUGGCAAAUCAUUUAAGUUCUGUUAAUGGUGAGGUGGUUGUAAGAAACAAAUCAGAAGGUGUUUUUUAAAGAAUUACACUUUGAAAAAUGAGGCAGUUCUAUGCAAAUGCAAGAAUCAGUUUGUAUAACUCUAAGAGGCAUUUUUAUCUCAUUUCAGAAAACAAACUAUCUUUGGGCACUUGAAAACCUCGCCAGCCUUCAUUUGCAUAAAAUUAUUAUUCUAAUUACAAAUUAUUUUCAUGUAUUCAUUAAAGCAGGUUCAUCAGGGCAUCUAUUAGGCAAUUCUUUAUUAGCUUAAUUCGAAUUACGUAUAUGAAAGUAAUAAAGCUGCAUUUCUCUUUCAAUAAUAAUUUCAGAAAGUCUCCAUUAAUCCAACUAACAGAAGUAUUACUCUAAAUUUUAUGUUCUCUGAAUGUGAGAGAGGAAAGCCUAAAAAUUGCAAAAACUAGUUCAAUGCAAACACCAACAAAGAGUUACUAAUACCUUCUUUGUUGCAAUCUAAAUACUGCAGAUAUGUUUUAUGUUCUAUUCCAGUACUUCCAUUUUACCGCCGGAGAAACAAGGCCUAUGUUCAAAAAGCAAAGUAAGAUAAAAAGACACUAAUACAUAACACUAAUUAACACGAAGAUAUCAGAACUUAAAACUCCCUGGUCUCCAGUUCAACUUACAUCUUGAUAAUCACUAGUUGCCCACCUGAAUUACCAACACCAGCAGGAUCAGGUAAAAGAGACGUUUCUCUCUGUCCCUUUGUAUUUAAAUAUGGCAAAUAAAGAAGUGUCUCUUCCUUUAUAGCCUGACAACUCUUAUUUCUUUUUCUCCUUCCACCCUCCCCUUCGGCCAACCAGAGUGGCAUUUCUUGAGUACUCCAGGUACUUCUAUUCCUCCUUGUCUUUGCUAUUCUCUUGGCCUGGAUUGUCCUCUGUUCAUUAAAAUCCUCUCCCCCUUCAUUUUCACUGGGAAGGCUGUGAAUAAUGCCUUCCCAUUAUUCCAAAAGAUGCUCUACCUUAAAUGGAUGAACUAUUCAUUGACCCACCUCUUCAGCUAAUGUAUAAGUACCCUGAAAGCAAAGACAAUGCCUAUCUCCAGCAUCAUGGUGCUUGGCAUUAUGCUUAGAAGGCAAGGAGGUGAAUGAACAGAUGAAUAAAUGGAUGAAUGGAU
rnacentral:lncRNA from 1 species